CGGGGUAAAGCAUUUUUAUGCAUCUCUUUUACACUGAGAAGAAAAUAACUCUUUAUUUACUCCGC
rnacentral:tRNA from 1 species